UUGACAAACUAGAAUUAUUUGAAUUCCGUGUGGAAAGAGGUCGGGUUAAUUUUGAGUGUUAUCUGCAAUCUAGAUGUUUAUAAAUCAUUUCAGUCGUUGAUAUAAUAAUUAAAGGUCGACUGAACAUGAAUUAUAUUAUACAAUUUAAGGCGCAUUUCUGUUUAUGCACGUGAACCCAUCUAACGUUAUUGAUUGUUAUUUCGCAGUUAUAUAAAGUAGCAAAUUAUCGUUCCUGAAUAUGUGGCGCCGUGGUAGCCGAUCCUGUUCUUAAACUUCCGGUUUCUGCACUGUGCAACUAUACAGUUGCAUUUUUAAUUAACGAUGCCAAGUACUUGUUGUUGUGUACCUGGAUGUCAUUUAAGAGGAGGACAUGCAUUUCCAAAUGACUUAAAAAGUAGGUAAAGUUGGAUCAACGCCAUGGCCCAUACGCAGAUUGGACGAGAACACGACGAAAUCGUGGAGUCCAUCUCAAUCAGCUGUUGUUUGCAAGGCACAUUUUACUGAAAAAGACUACGUGCAGGAAACUAUUCAUGGGCACAAACCCACCAUACAGAGACUUAAUUCUACUGCCAUUCCCAGCCUAUUUUCCUGGACCAAGCAAGAGACUGAAUCGUCCGCAAAAAGAAAAAUCAAAUUAAAGUUUCCUACAACUUGGAUUAUUAUUGACAGCACAGAAUAUCCCGUGAUAAAACCUAAAGCUCCUAGAGCUCAGGCAACCUUUUCAUCAUAUAAAAACAGAAACACUGAAAAUACUUGUAUGUUCGACACCUGGUGGUUUAGUCAUCUAUGUCUCUAAUGCAUAUGUUGGUUGUACCAGUGACUGUGAAAUAGUUGAAAGAUGUAGAAUAGUUCAAUUAUGUGAUCCAGGUGACAGUGUGAUGGCAGACAAAGGUUUAAAUGUGCAAGAUUUGUUUGCUCACUUUUUUCAAAAAAAGAAACAGAAUUAGUUCCAAAACUCAUAUACGGGAUCCAAUUAACACGUGCACAUAGAGCUAAUUAUUGGACUUGGCAAAACAUACAAAAUUCUAAUAAAUCCUAUGAAUGGAACUGAAACAAAACUUUCAUCUGCAAUAACAUUUAGUUGUUUUAUGUUGUGUAAUUUUAGAACUUGUAUUGUGCCAACAUGACAUGGCCAAAGGAUGCAUAAAUAAAAGUGACGCAAUGAA